AAACUUAGAAUUCAGGAAUGUGCACAGUUAGAGGUUUCGUUCCCAAGCCUCUCGCCGUAUUGCAACACAGAGGUAGAUGGAUGUAAGAUGCAUUGCGGAGAAGAAUUUGACUAUAAACCAAUACGGCGGUAAGGUUGCCAUUUUCUGGAACGAUUCAUAUUUUUAAUUUUCAUCUCAAUAUGCGCUCUUUCUUACUAAAUAACAUUUUAUCUCCUCAUCUAUUUGAAAUAACUAGCCUCAAAGCAGAGGUAGAUGAGUGCAAUAUACUGUCCGAUAGUGAAGAUGACCCCUCGACUACUGAGGAAUAUUUCGGAGCUCCCAACUUCUUUAAGGCCUUUCUCGUGGGAGUAAUUAAUUUCAUCCGUAAAAUGUUCAAUUGGACGAGUGCAACUUCUGACUAAUAGAUCGGAGUUCACAACUUCUUUAAGGCCUAUCUUAUUGGAGACGUAGAGCUAGGAUAUGAACUUCAACUGGAAUAAGGCAACUACUAAUGGUUGAUGUCUGUCAGUUUUUCUAUUUGAUGAAUAAGUUAACAGUGCACUUGUAUUGUCUAUUUUUGUGUUUGUCUUAAUAAUGUAAAACACUCUGUUGUUCAUUUUCAUUUUUUUUUUAAUUUUUU